rnacentral:lncRNA from 1 species
AUGAAGAAACAGAGGGAUAUACUGCCGUCUUAAACCAACCCAAAUGCCUCUGCCGCAGUCGCAGUUAUUUAGGGUGGAGAAGCGGGCUCUGGCAACUAGAGAAGGUGGCCGCAGCAUGGGGACACCCGAAUUGAGGAGCUGUUUGGGCAAUAAGCUGAUUUAGAGAAUUAAGACCUCCACAGAUGGGAGUGGAAUCCGCAACUGCUCAAUCCAUCCACUGAGAAGUCCCAUAAAAGAUGGACAAUCCAUAACUGAAACCCAACCUUCGGCACAACGAUCAAAUUCUACAUGCAUAAAGCAAGAGAUCUGUGUGCCAGAUCCAUCUUAAAGGCACCCCACCCAGAGGACAGAGUCUGUCUCCUUCCCCUAAACAAUAUGCAGAAACCACCCUGGUAUUUCAUGGGUUCUCACUUAGGAAAAUUGAGUUCUGUUCAAUGAUGCCCCUUCUGCACUGGUUGGUUUCAUGUGACAAAGAGAGCUCUAGGGAGGACUUUUGCUAGGGGAACGCAGAUUGUUCCAGCAAGAUGAAGGCCUAGGAGACCUGGAUGGCCUGGGUGUUUUCUUCCCAGGGAGAGCAGAGGAGGCCUGGAUUUGAACUCGAGUCUUAUGACUUUGCCAUUGAGGCAACAUCCAAAAUAAAAAUAGCAUGCUAACCCCAA